GGGGGUCAUAUCACUUGGAUCAUGCCUGUUGGGGUACAGUGUGAUUGGGGACUCUCCAUCCCUCUUCUUCAGAGUCUGCCAAUUUUUCCCAAUCCCACCAACCCAAGCAGGGAGUUUUCCUUGUGGCUUCAACUAAGACAUAGAAACAGCCAUCUAACUUAGAUGGAAUUAAACUCAAUUUACUUGGGGAAAAAACCUUCAUGCUCCACUAUAACUGUAAGGCCAACGUUUGGCAUUGGAGGUACCUGGGCUCAAAAAUAAGAGCUCUUAGAACUGAUAUCAUAGUUCCACACACCACUGGACUCGAACAAGUCCUUCAAAAGUGGGUGUUACAUGCUUUAGUGAGUUGUUAGAAAUGACCACAUGCUUGACUCAAAAUACCAUGAAAACCCACAUGCCCUGGCCUCUCUUCUAAAUAUAUGUCCGUGUACACACGGAUGACUUCGAGUGACUAGCAGAUACUGCAUGACGAAGGGAAAUGUUUUUUUCUUAAGAUUUUUUUUUUAAUUUUCCUUUUCCAUCAAAGGUGCUUUGCAGCUGACCCAGCUACUGCUCUCCUCAAAUAAUGUGGUGAGAAAAGUAAAGCGAGAACUGCCACUUUGGUUUGGCCUGUACCUUCCAGGUCAUAUCUUUGUACCUCACUUCCUGACACAAACAAGUUUUCACUGUUGUCAGCAACAAAGCCCUAAUAUAGCUGCAGAAGACAGAGAAGGAGAGAAAGAAAAAGAAAACAACAACAACAAAAAAAUCCCUGCAUUACAUUUUGCCUCCUGCAAACACCAUCAACAGUUACCAGAGAAUGUAAUUCCAGAGAGCUUUAAGGCUGCAGGUGAUGGCAAUUGUGUAUCAGAUGCCUGAGUCUAUUUCUGUUAUUAUUGUGUCAUUUCUCCUCUAUCCCCAGAACAGGAGGGGAGCUUGCAGGGAGACAGAUCCGGUGUGUGUGUGUGUGUGUUUUUUUUUUUUUUUUUUACUUUGUGGACAAUUUUCAUCAAGCCAGAUAGAAAAGCAGGACCCCCCCACCCCCCCAAGCCCCCGUAUGUCGUUUUCACAUAACGUGGGUUUGGGGGACUGUGGGGAAGGAUUUUAAAGGCGUCUGCCAAUGUGCUGAGCAAAGGCUGCAAGCGUGUAGAAGCGCCGUAGCCCCCACAGAGGCCGUGGCCCCUUCACCUCGGGGUGCUGCGAGGGGCUCGUGGUGAGUGGUGGUACCCGCGCUGCCUCUGCGGCCACCUCCGCCAGUCCUGCUGCCGCUGUUGUCGCUGCUGCAGUCACGUGGGAGCCCCUUUAAGUUUCCAUAGAGAGGCCUCUCCGGUGUCACAUGAUGAACAUGAUAUAAUGAAACAACAUUGUGGAGAGGGAAGCAUUAGGGGAGCCCACGACUACAAAAACAAGUGAGUGAGAAUAGGUGGGAGGAAGAGAAACUACGCCACCUCCCCUGCAGCCGAGCUGCGCGCAGCAGCCCCGGGGAGCUGGGAAGUAGAUGCCGCCGCCGCCUCCGGAGGAAGGUGGUGGAAAGGGGCAGGGAGAUGGGGGGGUCCUCGGUCCCGCCUGAGGACCCCCUCCCCGAAACCCACCCCCUGGAGAACAACUUCCAGCCAGCAGCCUGGGCAGGCGCUGCUGCACCUGUCUCCCGAGCCGCCCUCGCUCGGCGGCCCCGCACGGGGACAUUCUGGAAUGUGCUGGGCAAUUCUACCUGCGCAUCAUUUUCUCUUCGGCGCCCGGGGCCUGGGGAAGGGAUAACGAGGGGACCCGACCGACGGCUUUGCGGGCUCCGGCUCUCAGGGUCUCACUGUUCUGGGCCAGCUUUUUCGUAUGGAGCGGGGAGCAAGAUGCACACCAGCACUGACUGAAGAAGCUCCCCCAGUGCUGUAGUGCUCACUGGUGCUAUAUAGACACUUGAACAUGGAUCACACUCAUGCCAAACGACGCCAAGCCUCCCUGGAACAGUACUUCGGGGGAAGUAGACUCUACCUCAUGGGUUUUCAGGAAAAUCUUUUAACUGGCUAUUUCUCUCUGAAGAAAAAACUCUGGGUCCACUAAACACUUUAAGAGACUAAGCCACAGACUCCUGUACAAAACUGCUCUUGAAAUGUGAAGCAAUCUCAGCACGGGGAGGCCUGGAAAGAUUGCACCAGGAGGAUAUAUAGCUUCCCUAACUUUGUGGAUCAGAAGAAACACCAUGGAACUGUAGAGGGCCUGAAGAGUUGGAAUAUGUCACCAUGAGGAGUUUCUCUGCCUCAGGGAUCCAAAGCUCAAACCUGACAGUUUACAGCUCAAACCUUGGUCACAAACGCCCUCUAACACUUCAGUGGCGGAAGCAUCUUCGCCUAAGAACUCAGGCGGACUUAACCAGUGGGAACAUGGGCAGUGAGCCAUGACUGCAGACUGGGAAGUGAGCUUUCAUUUGAGCCUCUUCAUCCAGGCAGGCAGGAGGUCUCCUAGGCAACCGCCUGUGCUGUGCGGUAAUUAAAGAGGAGCCAGAGAGGAGAAAGGAAGAAAUCGAGGCACCUUCAGUGAAACAGGAUGAACUGCAGAACAGUACUUGCCUGGAACCCAGUAGGAGAAACAUUGGGACAUACAUGGUGGUGGCUUUAACCAAAAGAAAGUCUACAGAAGAGCCAGCGAAAUCCUGAGCCCUGCUGUGGCGCCUCUCCAGAGCCUCUCAUCUCCUCCAUCUUGAUCUUGAAAGAUGGCAACACAGAGAAAGGCCGAGACACCACAGUCGUGCUUCACAGUCUGCGGAGUUUGCCCAGUGUCAUAGUAUUCGCUUGUGGUACCAGGCUAGGAACCUGAGGCUUCAUGCAUGCACGGCCCCGGGCAGCCUGCGCUUGAGAGUCCUUUGUAUGACUGGCCUACCACUCGGUUCUAGCACUUCUCUCAGAAGCUCUGUGACCCCAGGUCACAUUUCUGCACGUGUCUUUGUCGUCACUUCCUUGACUGUUUGACCUACUAGUACCUGCUCCUUCUUAAACUUCAUCUCAGAUGUCACCUUCUCCAGGAAGCCCUCCGUGCUGUAACAGCAGAAGGCUACCAUUGCCCAGUAUCCAAGUAAUAAGGAACAGGGAGACCUUCUCUACAGUGGCACAUGAGGACCUGGAACCUGCCAAGAGUCCCAUCAGUCAGCAUGCAGAUUAAUCCUUCAACCUAGAGGGCGAUGAUGAGAAAUCCUGAAUCCAAGGAGCCACUUAAAGUCACAGAAAAUUUGGGCUGGGGAGAUAGCAUAAUGGUUAAUACUCAAAUAGACUUUCAUAUCUAAGGCACCGAAAGUCCCAAGUUCAAUCCCUAGCACCACCGUAAGCCAGAGAUGAGCAGUGCUCUAGUUAAUAAUAAUACAUUUAUAAGUUACAGAACUUGGGACAGAAUACUUACUGGUUUUGUUUGUUUGUAGUUGGGGCUUCCUGUAUGCGUAACUUCACUGCUUAGACGGCUUCUUCAUUCAAAGAGUCACCAUGUUACCAGAGCCGCAGCACCUUCUGGUGACUCACACCUGGGUCACACGCACAGUAUGGCACACACCUUACCUGGUAAACCCAGUGCAUCUUGUCUUGAGUUGUUCUGUUACGCAGCAGUCGUUCGUAACACCCACAUCUAGAUGUUUGAGUUUCAGUACUUCAAAGUUUUCAGAUAAAUGGAGUAGCGAUGACUUUAGAUUUCCAGAAAAGUUGCAAAACUAGUACAGAGGAUUCUUGCCUACUAUCUCUUGGCCAGUUUCUUCUGUUACUACUAUCCUGUAUAGCCAUAGUAAACUUGUUAGUACUAAGAAACCAAUAUGGGUAUAUUACUGUUAAUGAAAUUUCAGACUUUAUUAACAUCUCAUCAGCUUUUCCACUAAUGUCCUUCUAAUCCAAGGUUAGUGUCAUUAUAAUAGCCCAUCUAAUUCAAGGUUGGUGUCAUAUUAUAUGUAAUAGCCCAGUGUAGAAUCCAUGUUCCAUAAUCCCUAGGUGUCUGUAUGUAUAUGUACAUAUAUAUAUAUGUAUACACAUGUGUACAUAUUUUGUAUUUAGAAAUAAAGCAUGCCUGCUUUUAUAACUUGGGAAAACACCUCAUAGUUAAUAUGAACCAAAAGUCUCUGGAAGUCUUGUUUAUAUUAUUAGGAAAGAUAACCAUUAUAUUAAUUGAAAACUGCUAUUAUUUUAAAUCACUGAGGGGGGGUGAAACUGUCUUUAAGUAAAAAAUAACAAUACCCUAAGAAGUCAGAACAGUCAAUUAUUGAGGUACUAGAAAAGUCAAGAUUUGUUUUUGUUUUUCUGUGCAAAAAUGAGUCAUGACUUUUCCAACAAACCAGUAUACAUUUUAAAAAAAAAGCUGUAUUGUUUUAACAAGCUGAAAUGUUUUUGGUUUUCAUUUUGUUAAAUAUCAAGUAUGUCAAGUAUGCCAGAUUUGUAAAUUGUGCUAGUGAUACAAAUAAAUUCCUAUUUAUAUAAUACCAAACACUUCAUUUUCUUUUUAACUAUUUAAAUGAAAACUAUAAAUAUUCAACUGACACUUAAAUUUUUUUCUUUCUCAGUUCCUAUGUAUUGUGUCUAGAUAAACUUUUUUUUACUAUUUUAUUUAUUCCCUUUUGUUGCCCUUGUUAUUUUUAUUGUUGUAGUUGUUAUUGUUGUCAUAGUUGUUGGAUAGGACAGAGAGAAAUGGAGAGAGGUGGGGAAGACAGAGGGGGAAAGAAAGAUAGACACCUGCAGACCUGCUUCACUGCUUGUGAAGUGACAUCCCUGCAGAUGGGGAGCCAGGGCUCAAACCGGGAUUCUUAUGCCAGUCCUUGUGCUUUGCGCCACCUGCACUUAACCUGCUGUGC